AAAUUGAAGAGUUUGAUCAUGGCUCAGAUUGAACGCUGGCGGCAGGCCUAACACAUGCAAGUCGAACGGUAACAGGAAGCAGCUUGCUGCUUUGCUGACGAGUGGCGGACGGGUGAGUAAUGUCUGGGAAACUGCCUGAUGGAGGGGGAUAACUACUGGAAACGGUAGCUAAUACCGCAUAACGUCGCAAGACCAAAGAGGGGGACCUUCGGGCCUCUUGCCAUCGGAUGUGCCCAGAUGGGAUUAGCUAGUAGGU
rnacentral:rRNA from 1 species